rnacentral:rRNA from 1 species
UACGUAGGGUGCAAGCGUUGUCCGGAAUUAUUGGGCGUAAAGAGCUCGUAGGCGGUUUGUCGCGUCUGCUGUGAAAACCCGAGGCUCAACCUCGGGCCUGCAUUCGAUACGGGCUGGCUAGAGUACUGCAGGGGAGACUGGAAUUCCUGGUGUAGCGGUGAAAUGCGCAGAUAUCAGGAGGAACACCGGUGGCGAAGGCGGGUCUCUGGGCAGUAACUGACGCUGAGGAGCGAAAGCGUGGGGAGCGAACAGG